AUCACUAUCUAAGUGGAAGAGUCGACGAAUAUAAGUGAAUGAUUUCGAAAAAAAUUAUGAUGAUAAAUAAUAACAAAGGUAGUAUAAAUCUGAAAAGGGGACUACGCAUUAUAAGUCAGGUGACCCUCACCCGGUCAUUUAGCCCAACUGCGAAUCACCUCUAAGAUAUAAAGCUAUCCUAUGCCAAAAAGGGCAAUAAAUAAUAUGAAAAAGAAUCGGAUCAUAAUCACUAACAGACUCACUACCAUGUGUGUGUGAAUAGAUAACGG
rnacentral:lncRNA from 1 species